UGGGGAAUCUUCCGCAAUGGACGAAAGUCUGACGGAGCGACGCCGCGUGAGUGAUGAAGGCCCUUGGGUCGUAAAGCUCUGUCAUCAGGGACGAACGGUCACGUCAGGAAAUGGGCGUGAAUUGACGGUACCUGAGAAGGAAGCCACGGCUGACUACGUG
rnacentral:rRNA from 1 species